rnacentral:rRNA from 1 species
GAUGAACGCUGGCUGCAGGCUUAACACAUGCAAGUCGAGGGGAAACGCCGGGGUAGCUUGCUUCCCCCGGCGUCGACCGGCGCACGGGUGAGUAACGCAUAUCCAACCUGCCUCUGACUGAGGGAUAACCCAUCGAAAGUCGGCCUAAUACCUCAUUGCUUCGUCUGCGGGCAUCCAACGACGAUUCAGGAUUUCAUCGGUCAGGGGUGGGGAGGCGUCUGAUUAGCUUGUUGGCGGGGUAACGGCCCACCAAGGCUAGGAUCGGUAGGGGUUCUGAGAGGAAGGGCCCCCAGAUUGGAACUGGGGCACGGUACACACACGUACGGCAGGGAGCAGUAAGGAAGAUUGGUGGAUGGACGGGUGCCGGAACCAGGCAAGUUGCGUGCAGGAUGACGGCGCUAUGGGUAGUAAACUUCUUUUAGGCGAGGAUAAAGUGAGGUACGUGUGCUUGAUUGCAGGUACCGCAUGAAGAAGGACCGGCUAAUUCCGUG